UGGAAACCCAAUAUUCCAGGGGUAACCCAAUGCUGCAGCUCCUUUCAACAGGUCAACCGUAUAAUGGUACACCACUUUGGAAAAUAAUAAUUUCACUCUCGGUAGCUGUCGCAAGUGGGCCAAAAGGGACGCGUGCUCUGAAUUCAUACGGAAUGAAGUCACCCUAUCUGUAGGAGAAUCGCAUCCGAUCGGCCUGGCAGGUGCAGACGCGAUUUUCAGGCAAACGGCGCAGCUGCACGCUUUAAUCGGCGCAAAGCAGAGCAAUGCGACGCGCGUCCCUCUAGAUGGCGCUAUAAUUAUACUUACGGUGAUACGAUUGAAGCUGAAGGAAGAUGCGAGUAGAAAGAGAGAGAGAGAGAGAGAGAGAGAGAUGAAAUUUAAUAUAUCUGAAUGUUAAGGUUUUUAAGGCUGAGGGAGAGAGCGAAAAGAAAAAGUUUCUGUUUUUCUCGGCGUCUCGUGCAUCACGGAAAAUUGCAUCCAGUGAUCGGUCCAUUGACGCACGCCAAAGUAACAAAUGCUCUGACGAUACAGAGACAGAGCAAUGAGAGCGGGUAAUGUGGAGGCAUGGGCAUUGGGGUGAAUGGUAGAACGAAGGAGGACAGGAGGAGAGAGAGAGAAACGGGGAAAGAGGGGGAUAGAGAGGGACGGAGAGAUGCUGAAGAGGGAAAACAGGGACGGAAUAGCAGAGUUGACCUGGGAUACCAAGAGGUGAGAGGUCAGCCUCUCGACCUCGGAGAUGAAAUUCAGCCAUUGAGGGUAUUUCGAAAUCUUAAGCUCUUCCGGCCAUACUUAACCGUUCGAGAUCAUCUCGAGUGGAUGCACUUGACCUGACCUGACCUCGCGGAUACCUCGAGGGAAAGUUGACCCGGACGACGAGUUAGGUGCACCGAAGAAGCUUCCAGGCAAUUGUCUCGUGUGAGGUUAAUAAAUACAUUUUUCAAUUUAAUUAAAGUUGGCUCAUUCAGGUCUGAGUGCCUUCGAAGAUCAAUGUGUUACGUGUUACGUGGGGACUCCGUACUUUCUAGGCUGCUUGUACUUUUCUACCGUAAAUGGAGACCCGCUGGUUAAUGGCGUCGGUCCUCCUGGCAAUGUAAAGCUUCUUUCACACGGAGAACCAUUGCGCCUCGUUAUUAAGACGCGUACAGUGGGAAGCGAAUGAAAGUAUUUUUU